rnacentral:misc_RNA from 1 species
UCCGGCUUAACGCCGGCAGUCUCCCGAGAGUCCCCGACUUUACUCGCUGGUAACACGGGAUAGGGGUUGCGCUCGUUGCGGGACUUAACCCAACAUCUCACGACACGAGCUGACGACAACCAUGCACCACCUGUCACUUUGUCCCCCGAAGGGGAAAGCCCUAUCUCUAGGGUGGUCAAAGGAUGUCAAGACCUGGUAAGGUUCUUCGCGUUGCUUCGAAUUAAACCACAUGCUCCACUGCUUGUGCGGGCCCCCGUCAAUUCCUUUGAGUUUCAGCCUUGCGGCCGUACUCCCCAGGCGGAGUGCUUAAUGUGUUUACUUCGGCACUAAGGGCAUCGAAACCCCUAACACCUAGCACUCAUCGUUUACGGCGUGGACUAC